rnacentral:rRNA from 2 species
CGGUAAUACGUAGGUGGCAAGCGUUAUCCGGAUUUAUUGGGCGUAAAGCGAGCGCAGGCGGUUGCUUAGGUCUGAUGUGAAAGCCUUUCGGCUUAACCGAAGAAGUGCAUCGGAAACCGGGCGACUUGAGUGCAGAAGAGGACAGUGGAACUCCAUGUGUAGCGGUGGAAUGCGUAGAUAUAUGGAAGAACACCAGUGGCGAAGGCGGCUGUCUGGUCUGCAACUGACGCUGAGGCUCGAAAGCAUGGGUAGCGAACAGGAUUAGAUACCCUGGUAGUCCAUGCCGUAAACGAUGAGUGCUAGGUGUUGGAGGGUUUCCGCCCUUCAGUGCCGGAGCUAACGCAUUAAGCACUCCGCCUGGGGAGUACGACCGCAAGGUUGAAACUCAAAGGAAUUGACGGGGGCCCGCACAAGCGGUGGAGCAUGUGGUUUAAUUCGAAGCUACGCGAAGAACCUUACCAGGUCUUGACAUCUUGCGCUAACCUUAGAGAUAAGGCGUUCCCUUCGGGGACGCAAUGACAGGUGGUGCAUGGUCGUCGUCAGCUCGUGUCGUGAGAUGUUGGGUUAAGUCCCGCAACGAGCGCAACCCUUGUUACUAGUUGCCAGCAUUAAGUUGGGCACUCUAGUGAGACUGCCGGUGACAAACCGGAGGAAGGUGGGGACGACGUCAGAUCAUCAUGCCCCUUAUGACCUGGGCUACACACGUGCUACAAUGGACGGUACAACGAGUCGCAAGCUCGCGAGAGUAAGCUAAUCUCUUAAAGCCGUUCUCAGUUCGGACUGUAGGCUGCAACUCGCCUACACGAAGUCGGAAUCGCUAGUAAUCGCGGAUCAGCAUGCCGCGGUGAAUACGUUCCCGGGCCUUGUACACACCGCCCGUCACACCAUGGGAGUUUGUAACGCCCAAAGUCGGUGGCCUAACC